AAGUCAAGGGGAUAGCAAUAUCACCGGCGGACGGGUGCGUAACGCGUACACAACGUGCCCAAGGGCGGAGGAAAGCGGCGGGAAACUGCCGGUAAUACUCCAUGGUGUUGUUGGAUGGCAUCAUCUAACAACUAAAGUACAAGCGCCCUUGGAUCGGUGUGCGUUCGAUUAGCUAGUUGGCGGGGUAACGGCCCACCAAGGCUACGAUCGAUAGGGGGUGUGAGAGCAUGGCCCCCCACACGGGUACUGAGACACGGACCCGACUCCUACGGGAGGCAGCAGUAAGGAAUAUUGGACAAUGGGCGAAAGCCUGAUCCAGCCAUGCCGCGUGAAGGACGAAGGCGCUCAGCGUUGUAAACUUCUUUUGGAUGGGAACAAUAAUCAAGACUUGUCUUGACUUGAGGGUACCAUCAGAAUAAGCACCGGCUAACUCCGUGCCAGCAGCCGCGGUAAUACGGAGGGUGCAAGCGUUAUCCGGAAUCACUGGGUCUAAAGGGUGCGUAGGCGGCCCAAUAAGUCAGUCGUGAAAUCGCUGGGCUCAACCCAUGCAAUUGCGAUUGAUACUGUUGGACUUGAAUUAGGUUGAGGCUGGCGGAAUGCGACAUGUAGCGGUGAAAUGCUUAGAUAUGUCGCAGAACACCGAUUGCGAAGGCAGCCAGCUGGGCCUCGAUUGACGCUGAGGCACGAAAGCGUGGGGAGC
rnacentral:rRNA from 1 species